UGGGGAAUAUUGGACAAUGGGCGAAAGCCUGAUCCAGCCAUGCCGCGUGUGUGAAGAAGGUCUUCGGAUUGUAAAGCACUUUAAGUUGGGAGGAAGGGCAUUAACCUAAUACGUUAGUGUUUUGACGUUACCGACAGAAUAAGCACCGGCUAACUCUGUGCCAGCAGCCGCGGUAAUACAGAGGGUGCAAGCGUUAAUCGGAAUUACUGGGCGUAAAGCGCGCGUAGGUGGUUUGUUAAGUUGGAUGUGAAAGCCCCGGGCUCAACCUGGGAACUGCAUCCAAAACUGGCAAGCUAGAGUACGGUAGAGGGUGGUGGAAUUUCCUGUGUAGCGGUGAAAUGCUUAGAUAUAGGAAUGAACACCAGUGGCGAAGGCGACCACCUGGACUGAUACUGACACUGAGGUGCGAAAGCGUGGGGAGCAAACA
rnacentral:rRNA from 1 species